rnacentral:rRNA from 1 species
UACGGGGGGGGCAAGCGUUGUUCGGAAUUACUGGGCGUAAAGGGCUCGUAGGCGGCCAACUAAGUCGGAUGUGAAAUCCCCAGGCUUAACCUGGGAACUGCAUCCGAUACUGGAUGGCUUGAAUCCGGGAGAGGGAUGCGGAAUUCCAGGUGUAGCGGUGAAAUGCGUAGAUAUCAGGAGGAACACCAAUGGCGAAGGCAGCUCGCUGGGACGGUACUGACGCUGAGGCGCGAAAGCGUGGGGAGCAAACAGG